CGGGUUGAUUAUAGAGAAGCAUCAAGGAAACAACGAAAAUGUCAUAUUUUCUCAUUAUGAAUACUAUCUUAUAUCCCGUAUGAAUAUUACUGAAACCAAGAGAGGGUCGUCUCGUCUCAUAGAACCAACGAUUGAUUUGCAACAUAUAAUGGGACAGAGGGAGUAUCACGUUGUAACACAAAAUCAAAGUACAAUGUAGAAAUAGUACAAAAUAAUAAUCCAUAUACGUCAGUAAUGGGAAUUAUCAUCUGUAGGGCGGUGGAUCAGCCACCGGACCUGGUGCAGGAGGACUCCAGGGACGUGAUGGUGGAAAAGUCAACAUAUGUGGUGGACGAGGUCUCUUGAAAGGUGAUGGUGGUGGUGAUAAUUUAGCUCUGAGGCUUUCAGACCAAGUACCUCUCUGACUCUCUAUAUUUGUUAAACCACCUGCAUUUUCAAAGUUAAUAAGAUCAUGCUUUCUGAAUCCGCUCUGCCAAUCAGAAAACCAGUUUGAGUUCCGGAUAUCGCCUUUGGAACAGGACAUGCAUAUAGAUAUGAGGAUCAAGAGAAUUGCUGCAAGAUUGAGCUUUGUGAGAAAGGCCAUAUUUUGUGGCUCUGUGCUCAUGUUUUGCUCAUGUCCUUGGAGUAUUUUAAACCCUUACUUUGUGUUAGCUAUAGUUUAGUCACAUACAUGAAUUUAGAUCGUCGGACAAAAAUUACCCAUUUCUUCUUUACCUAAACUCUUUAGAAUUUCUCUUGCCUAUAGUUUAGCCACAUACAUGAAUUAAUACACUCAAACAAGAAUCAUCCAUUCCAAUCAUUUCCUUGCUUGCCUACAAUACUUUGGUGUCAUUUUUGCUUCCCCAUACUAGUGACACUUCCCAAGAUAUAGGUAGGAGUAUAUAGAUUGUCAAUGCCACGUCACUAUGAUGGGACCGAGAGUCAGAUGAGCCGCGUUAACCUAUCGGUCCGGUUAGAGCAAACCUGACCGCAAAGCUUACUGGUUGUCGGCUGGGACGGAUUUAGAGGGGGGCAGUGGGGGUAAUUGCCCCCACUGAUCUUCAUAAUAGAUAUAUAUUUCUACUAUUAUUUUUAACAAAUUGUUUACUUGCCUCAUGGUUGAGGUGUUCUAUGUUAUUGCAGGAG
rnacentral:lncRNA from 1 species